rnacentral:lncRNA from 1 species
AUCAAACCUAGUGGUUAUUACUGUCUAUCACAUUUUAUUUCUGUAUUUCACAGCAUUUGCUAUAAUGAGUACUUGGACAUCAAAAAUAUUUUCUUAUUCAACCACUAUUCAAAAUCUCAUAAAAAGGAAUAAAAAAUUGUCUGCAUCUUUCUUAAUCCACGACCUCACAAGCUCUGGAAACACUAAUCUCCCAUAUUUGUAUGAAGAGUUAAAUUAAGCUGAAUCAUCGUGGCCGCUGUGAGAUGGGGCUGAAGCCCCACCAUUUUCUGUCUUCCAGAAGGAAUCCAUAUUCUCAGUUAUACACUUGGCCGUUCCAUCAUGGGUGAAGGUAUGAAAUGGCAUGGGCGAUGAUGUCCUGAGAAUUCAGUAAAGGAGGGGACAGACUUGGAAUUGGAAUAAGACCCAGAAAUAAGCUUAGUUUAAGGAGAGGAGAAGAUGAGCCAUGGGGUUAGAUUCCUUGUUAGCUCAAUUUGGAUAUCUGGCAAAGUGUAAUAUCUCCUCAUUCCAGCGAGGACACUGAUUGAUGGAACUUCUAUAUGGGUUACUUCGCAUUCUUAAGAAAAUUUUUAUUGAUGGAGCUUGAGUGUUGUAACUAUACCUGGUCCAAUAAGCUAUUGCCAGAGGGCUAAGAUCACAAACAUGGCU